ACACCAGCCCAUGUGAACGUUACCAAACUGUUGCCUCGGCGGGAUCUCUGCCCCGGGCGCCCCCUUUAAAAAGGGACCAAGGGGCCCGCCGGAGGACCAACCAACCCUUUUAAUGUAUACCCCCUCGCGGGUUUUUUACUAUCUGAGCCAUCUCGGCGCCCCUCGUGGGCGUUUCGAAAAUGAAUCAAAACUUUGAACAACGGAUCUCUUGGUUCUGGCAUCGAUGAAGAACGCAGCGAAAUGCGAUAAGUAAUGUGAAUUGCAGAAUUCAGUGAAUCAUCGAAUCUUUGAACGCACAUUGCGCCCGCCAGUAUUCUGGCGGGGAUGCCUGUCCGAGCGUCAUUUCAACCCUCGAACCCCUCCGGGGGGUCGGCGUUGGGGAUCGGCCCUUUACGGGGCCGGCCCCGAAAUACAGUGGCGGGCUCGCCGCAGCCUCUCCUGCGCAGUAGUUUGCACACUCGCAUCGGGAGCGCGGCGCGUCCACAGCCGUUAAACACCCCAAACUUCUGAAAUGUUGACCUCGGAUCAGGUAGGAAUACCCGCUGAACUUAAACAUAUCAAUAAGCGGAGGAA
rnacentral:rRNA from 1 species